AGUCGAUAUAUAUAUAAUGAAACUUGAUAUAUAUAUAAUGAAAAUUGAUAUAUAUAUAAUGAAAGUUGAUAUAUAUAUAUAAUGAAAGUUGAUAUAUAUAUAAUGAAACUUGAUAUAUAUAUAAUGAAAGUCGGAAUAUAGAAUGUUCAGAUUUUCAUUCCAUCUAUUCAAAGUUUCAUUCCAUAUAUUCAGACUUUUUCCUACUGAGCCCUGGAAGGACAUGGCAAACAAAAACAGGAACCUUAUUGGACAUUUGCUCUUCAGAUGAGCUCUUCUGUGAUUAUCUAUCUGUCUUCAUGGUUGUCACAGGGAACGGCGACUACGUUUGAGAAAACAGCUGGUCUUAAGGCUAAUUACGAGGCAGAGGUCAGCUGCUGCCUGGACACAUCCAUGAUCACGCCACUGGUGGGACACAAUUGUACUGGAUUUCAGCUGAAGGCUGCUGUUCUGUCCAAACUGAGACAUUUUUAUUGUGACAUACCCUCCACUGUUGUUAGCUUUUGAUUCAAUAAUUUUUUUUGAGAUGAGGAAA